rnacentral:rRNA from 1 species
GACGAACCACCCAAACGUUAUUCGGAAUUACUGGGCUUAAAGAGUGCGUAGGCGGUCAUGUAAGUAGGGUGUGAAAUCCCACAGCUCAACUGUGGAACUGCGCUCUAAACUACAUGACUAGAGGGAUAUAGAGGUGAGCGGAACUGAUGGUGGAGCGGUGAAAUGCGUUGAUAUCAUCAGGAACACCGGAGGCGAAGGCGGCUCACUGGGUAUCUUCUGACGCUGAGGUACGAAAGCUAGGGGAGCGAACGGG